rnacentral:lncRNA from 1 species
UUUUGGUCAACCAAUUCCACAAGAUCCACUGAACUGUGAAAAACUUCAUAAAGUUGACUUACGUGACAAAACUGAUUGUAACUGGUCACAUAAGCAUCGCCGCUGGAUUGAAAUUGGAAUAAUGGGAACAAUUAUGUCGUGGAGGGAAGACCAGCAAAUACAAUGCCUUUGAACCACUACUCUGAGUAUAUGCAGUGGUAUUUAAGAAGAACUAGAAGAUAUAUAUCUAGAGAUGGAGCACACUCUGAUGCAAUGGUAAAAAAAAUUAUAAAUUACACUUCCUUUGUAAUUAUAUUAUUUAAUUCUAAUUUUCUUUAAUUUUUUCAGUACACUUUUGUGAAAAGAAUUUGUGAUCAGAGUCGUCCUCCAGCUUCACUUAUUAAUUCCACACAAUCUUUGUGUGACAUCUUCUCAUCGGGACGUGAAAUGAUGGGAGCAUUGGCUGAACUAUACCCCAAUGCAUACUCUACCCACAUUGAUGAUGCUCCUCCUACUCAUCAUUAUGAUAUACCGAAAAUUGACUCUCCACAACAAACUCCAGUGGAUAGUCAUUAUCAAGGACA